UUUUUUUUUUUUUUUUUUUUUUUUUUUUUUUUUUUUUUUUUGCUGUUUGUUCUUCUGAAGAAACGG
rnacentral:ribozyme from 1 species